UACGAAGGUAUUGAAAUAAGGCUUUUAUUGGGUGCUAAGAGAAUGGUUGAACAAGGAUUAACUUUCUUUUAAUUUUUAAGGAAUUUGAUUUAAAAGUGAAGAGGCUUUUAUUAAUUUUUGGGACAAGAAGACCCUAUGAAUUUUUUUUAUGGAUUUAUUAUUAUUCAUAAUUAAGAGAAUAAAAUAUUUUCAUAAGUUUAUUGGGGUGAUUUUUAAAUAUUGUUUAACUUUAAAAAAAGAAAUUAGAACCAUA
rnacentral:rRNA from 2 species